GGAGUGGUAGUUCAGCUGGUUAGAACGCCUGCCUGUCACGCAGGAGGUCGAGGGUUCGAGUCCCUUCCAUUCCG
rnacentral:tRNA from 1 species